ensembl:snRNA U6 U6 spliceosomal RNA
GUCCUUUAAAAAGGAUAAAAAAGUUCUUUUCGAUACAGAGAAGAUUAGCAUGGUCCCUGUGGAAGGAUGACAUGCACAUUUGUGAAGCGUUCCAUAUUUUU